rnacentral:rRNA from 1 species
ACUCCUACGGGAGGCAGCAGUAGGAAUUUUCGCAAUGGAGGGAACUCUGACGGAGCAAUGCCGCGUGUGGGAAGAAGGUUUUCGGAUUGUAAACCACUGUUGUAAGGGAAGAAAGAGGUUAGUAGGAAAUGGCUAACAAGUGACGGUACCUUACCAGAAAGGGACGGCUAACUACGUGCCAGCAGCCGCGGUAAUACGUAGGUCCCGA